ensembl:lncRNA
CGCGCAUGCACUGGUGUAAUUGAGCUGCGCUGCUUUAUAUCUUUUUUUUAUCAAUGUAGCGAGUUAAGCUUACCUAAGGUAAACUUUGAAAACUAUGAAGCGAUGCUGUCAUUCAUCCAUGUGAAUGGGAAUCAUUGGAACAUGCUGUACAUUCAUGCAAAGUCUGGCAUAGUCUUCCAAUUGGAUCCAUCACCAGCAUCCUCUGAGCUUGAGGACUCUGCACAUGCCGCCACGAAAAUACAGGAAUACUUCAAGAUGAGGAGAACAUCCCAUGGGAAAACGGACUGGGUUGAUGUUCAGUGGAAAGGAGGAGUAAUGCCCCACCCAGUGCAAAGGGAUGGUUGCAGUUGUGGCGUUAUUGUUGUUGAAAUGGCCAGAGCAGUAAUGGGAGCCUUCCCUCAGUUGCCCCAAAUGCAAUUUGAAACCACCAGGAAAGCCAUGGGAGAAUCUAGGAGGAAUAUGGGUCUCCAAGUCCUUGAGGCAUCAGUCUUUGAUGAAGAGACAUGUGCAAUGUGUGGAGCUGACAGGCCCCCUGGAGAAGCACCUGCCAACACAAACUGGAUCCAGUGUGAUAAAUGUGACCGGUGGUUCCAUGCCGUCUGUUUAACCAUGGACCCCAGGACACUUCAAGAGCUGAAGCAAAAGCAAUGGCUGUGUGUGCUGUGCAAAUAAAUAUUUUACCUGUUACCUGUCCUACAAGUGCCUCACGACCUUUAUAUUACCUUUACAUUUCUCUCGUUCCGCUGCUGCAACUUGCACCACAUCCCAUGAGCCCCAGCCAGCAUGUCUCCUCUCCUUCUCUUCGCUGCUCUGUUGGCCUUAGUGCUGUGUGCAAGGCACCGACUGAUAUGACCACAUUAACCAGUGUGCUGACUACGUGUACGCAAGGAACCAUGUGAUUUUACUGUAUAGAUUUUGAGAAAUUUUCAUUUGAAAAACGUACACAUGCAUAUUCUCGCCUUUGCAAAUAG